GUGGCUGUAAGUGGUGAGAAUUUCACGUUGUGGCCGUGAAGACCUGGGCUCAAAUCCCAGCAGCCACA
rnacentral:tRNA from 1 species